UACGAAGGGUGCAAGCGUUACUCGGAAUUACUGGGCGUAAAGCGUGCGUAGGUGGUUCGUUAAGUCUGUCGUGAAAGCCCCGGGCUCAACCUGGGAAUGGCGAUGGAUACUGGCGGGCUAGAGUGCGGAAGAGGCGAGUGGAAUUCCUGGUGUAGCGGUGAAAUGCGCAGAUAUCAGGAGGAACACCAAUGGCGAAGGCAGCACUCUGGGACGUGACUGACGCUGAGACGCGAAAGCGUGGGGAGCAAACAGG
rnacentral:rRNA from 1 species